AGUUUGAACCAUAUUUUCUAUUGUUGAUUGAUCUAUGUUUAUCAAGCCAUGGCCUUGCUUGCUGAGAUGAUCCUUGCACUUAUGUAUGUCGGUCUCGUAUGUUACUCUCUACUCUCUCAUAUCUUUGUCAGGUUCUUCCCUACUUUGGACUUUGGAGGGGAGGUCAUGUCUAUGAUGUGAUCUUCAUUGGAGUCAUGUGGUAGCCACUAGCAUUACUGAAGUCAAGAGGAAUCAAAAGAGUAUCAAUCGCUCUAAGAAAUUUGUGUGGAAGCGAUGCCAAUGUUGCAGUGUAAGAUUGGUGAUUCAUCGUCUCUCAUGGCAUAUAUGGAUGAGGAACACAAGUAGCAGGUGAUGAGGAUUGGUGCAUGAAUGUAAUGCUGAACAUUUAGAAAAGGGAAAAAACUUGGUGGAGUCCUUAAAAUACCGCCUGCUAAUAUCUAAAACAUCCGUAAGCUUCUCACCCCCUACACACAACCGCAUGCAAAAAUGUAGAACAUGUGAUCUUUACACAACAUGCAAGACCGACAAACCUAAAAAAAGCAGAAAAGAUAAAGCUCACUAACCAUAUAGCAAAUUGUAAAAAAAAAAUUACAUAUAUUCUACUGAAAUGUGUUUGAUCUUGAAAUUUUGAUGUGUGUAAGAUCACCUAUUGUGCUUGUGUGAUAAUUUUUAUAAUUUUGUACAUUUCUAGAUGAUAUUCAUGAUUUUUUAUUGACAGUUUUUUGGAUGGGAUAUUCAUGAUUCCACUUUAAAAUGAUAUGCUAGAAUAUUUUAUCCAAAGAGAAAAAAGUCAAGUUGCACAUCCAUGAUUGAACAUGCGCAGAUAAAAAGGAUGCGCUGCAAUUUUGGUGCGUAGAUUUAUGGAAAGACAAAUGAGUGAGCCGUGUAUUGUGGUUGUAAAUUUUGCAAUGUGAGAAAUGUGUAUAGGAUAGUGAAAGAAUAUGGGAUGAAUAUGAAGGAGGAGGAUGAUAAGGACAAAUAUGAUACUAUGAACAACAUAAUGGAAUUUAUGGCCGUAGCAUAUAUGAAGGCCCAAAGUUGCAGUUGUUCAUGUCCGGAUGACUAGCGAACCUUGGGGAAGGUCUUAUAACUUCGAAUGCACCUCUUGGUAGAUUUCGAGGUUUGUUGAAAGAGUAAUUUUCAUAAAAGGGGUGGACAUUAUGCAAUGGCAUUUCAAACACAGAAUGUAAUAUUUAUUAGAACUUUACAAGUGAGAAAUGUUUCUAUGUAAAUUGAGAGUUUUAGUUACCAUCCACCCGACACGGAUUGAAUUAUAGUUUUCC
rnacentral:lncRNA from 1 species